rnacentral:rRNA from 1 species
CCGGCCAACAGGCAGCGAAAUAAGCGCUGCUUUUCCGCAUGUCCUUUGUUGGCUGUCCCUCGCAGAAGAGCAGGCCGUUGGCCGUU